CGUCUAAGAUAGCCAUGCACGUCUAAGUACAAACUAAAUGAUGGUGAAACUGCAAAUGGCUCAUUACAACGGUUAUGAUGUACCCGGGAGUUCCGAUGGAUAUUUCCAGUAACACUAGAACUAAUACAUGUCCCUGCGUUUAUUAGUUUCGCACAGUCCGUCGCUGAGUCAUGGUAAACAGUUGAUCGACUCGACGUCCCGGAACAGUUUCCGCCCCAUCAGCUUCGAUGGUUGGGUAUUGGCCUACCAUUGCAACAACGGGUAACGAGGAAUUAGGGUUUGAUUUCGGAGAGGGAGCCUGAGAAACGGCUACCACAUCUACGGAUGGCAGCAGGCGCGCAAAUUACCCAAUGCAGACACUGUGAGGUAGUGACGAGAAAUAAUAAAGCGGGACUUCUGUUUCGCUAUUAUAAUGAGGAAUAACCAAAGGUCAUUCCGAUUAGCAACUGAUGGGAAAGUCUGGUGCCAGCAGCCGCGGUAAUACCAGCGUCAGUAGCAUA
rnacentral:rRNA from 1 species